UAGGUGACCUGCGGAGGAUCAUUA
rnacentral:rRNA from 3 species